GUGGGGAAUAUUGGACAAUGGGCGAAAGCCUGAUCCAGCCAUGCCGCGUGUGUGAAGAAGGUCUUCGGAUUGUAAAGCACUUUAAGUUGGGAGGAAGGGCAGUAAGUUAAUACCUUGCUGUUUUGACGUUACCAACAGAAUAAGCACCGGCUAACUUCGUGCCAGCAGCCGCGGUAAUACGAAGGGUGCAAGCGUUAAUCGGAAUUACCGGGCGUAAAGCGCGAGUAGGUGGUUCAGCAAGUUGGAGGUGAAAUCCCCGGGCUCAACCUGGGAACUGCCUCCAAAACUACUGAGCUAGAGUACGGUAGAGGGUAGUGGAAUUUCCUGUGUAGCGGUGAAAUGCGUAGAUAUAGGAAGGAACACCAGUGGCGAAGGCGACUACCUGGACUGAUACUGACACUGAGGUGCGAAAGCGUGGGGAGCAAACAGGAUUAGAUACCCGUGUAGUCC
rnacentral:rRNA from 1 species